rnacentral:rRNA from 1 species
GAUGAACGCUGGCGGCGUGCCUAAUACAUGCAAGUCGAGCGAACGGACGAGAAGCUUGCUUCUCUGAUGUUAGCGGCGGACGGGUGAGUAACACGUGGAUAACCUACCUAUAAGACUGGGAUAACUUCGGGAAACCGGAGCUAAUACCGGAUAAUAUUUUGAACCGCAUGGUUCAAAAGUGAAAGACGGUCUUGCUGUCACUUAUAGAUGGAUCCGCGCUGCAUUAGCUAGUUGGUAAGGUAACGGCUUACCAAGGCAACGAUGCAUAGCCGACCUGAGAGGGUGAUCGGCCACACUGGAACUGAGACACGGUCCAGACUCCUACGGGAGGCAGCAGUAGGGAAUCUUCCGCAAUGGGCGAAAGCCUGACGGAGCAACGCCGCGUGAGUGAUGAAGGUCUUCGGAUCGUAAAACUCUGUUAUUAGGGAAGAACAUAUGUGUAAGUAACUGUGCACGUCUUGACGGUACCUAAUCAGAAAGCCACGGCUAACUACGUG